CUCUAUCCACUGAGCCAAAUCGGCUAAAGCUAAGGCUCUGUGGCAGUUUAUGGGCUCCCACGAGAAGAAGAGACAAUUCACAGCGCUAUCACUAUUUUGCCUCCUGUCUUCAGAGGUAUAUUCUGCUGGUUUGUGAGGCUUUC
rnacentral:snoRNA from 1 species